UACGAAGGGGGCUAGCGUUGCUCGGAAUCACUGGGCGUAAAGCGCACGUAGGCGGACUCUUAAGUCAGGGGUGAAAUCCUGGAGCUCAACUCCAGAACUGCCUUUGAUACUGAGAGCCUUGAGUUCGGGAGAGGUGAGUGGAACUGCGAGUGUAGAGGUGAAAUUCGUAGAUAUUAGGAAGAACACCAGUGGCGAAGGCGGCUCACUGGUCCGGUACUGACGCUGAGGUGCGAAAGCGUGGGGAGCAAACAGG
rnacentral:rRNA from 1 species